GAUGAACGCUAGCUACAGGCUUAACACAUGCAAGUCGAGGGGAAACGAUAUUGGAAGCUUGCUUCCGAUAGGCGUCGACCGGCGCACGGGUGAGUAACGCGUAUCAAACCUGCCCACCACUUGGGGAUAACCUUGCGAAAGUAAGACUAAUACCCAAUGAUGUCCAUAGAAGACAUCUGAAAUGGAUUAAAGAUUUAUCGGUGAUGGAUGGGGAUGCGUCUGAUUAGCUUGUUGGCGGGGUAACGGCCCACCAAGGCGACGAUCAGUAGGGGUUCUGAGAGGAAGGUCCCCCACAUUGGAACUGGGACACGGUCCAAACUCCUACGGGAGGCAGCAGUGAGGAAUAUUGGUCAAUGGGCGAGAGCCUGAACCAGCCAAGUAGCGUGCAGGAUGACGGCCCUAUGGGUUGUAAACUGCUUUUAUAAGGGAAUAAAGUGAGCCUCGUGAGGCUUUUUGCAUGUACCUUAUGAAUAAGGACCGGCUAAUUCCGUGCCAGCCGCCGCCGUAA
rnacentral:rRNA from 1 species